GAUGAACGCUGGCGGCGUGCCUAACACAUGCAAGUCGAGCGAUCUUCUUCGGAAGAGAGCGGCGGACGGGUGAGUAACGCGUGGGUAACCUGCCCUGUACACACGGAUAACAUACCGAAAGGUAUGCUAAUACGAGAUAAUAUGCUUUUAUCGCAUGGUAGAAGUAUCAAAGCUUUUGCGGUACAGGAUGGACCCGCGUCUGAUUAGCUGGUUGGUAAGGUAACGGCUUACCAAGGCGACGAUCAGUAGCCGACCUGAGAGGGUGAUCGGCCACAUUGGAACUGAGACACGGUCCAAACUCCUACGGGAGGCAACAGUGGGGAAUAUUGCACAAUGGGCGAAAGCCUGAUGCAGCAACGCCGCGUGAGCGAUGAAGGCCUUCGGUCGUAAAGCUCUGUCCUCAAGGAAGAUAAUGACGGUACUUGAGGAGGAAGCCCCGGCUAACUACGUAGCCAGCAGCCG
rnacentral:rRNA from 1 species